GCAUUUUCCUGAAAACCUCGGGCCUCAGGAUUGGAGGAUCCCUGCUGGUUUCCUGAGUUCCUUCAAAUUCUUCUUUUUGAAAACUAGUGACAAAACUGAUGGCCUUCCUUAACCUUUGUUUGUCGGGACUUUCCCAUGAUUUUGUAAGCACCUACUUCCCGUUAUUAAAUUCCUUCCUACUUGAAAUACCUCAGGCAGUCCUGUUUGUGACCAUGCCCUGAUACCUGCAUACACCCUGGAGGUAGAGGAGGGGGAAAGGUCUGUCCCUCUAAUGAGGGAAAGGAGCCAAACCCAGGGCACUCGCACUACCCCGUGGGAAACAGGGAGGCAGACUCAGGAAGCCCAGACUCCUGCCCUGGGGACUGGCACGCAGCAAGGGACUGCCAUGAACAUUUGAUGGACUGUCUGUUGGGUUGGUGGCACCAUUUUCCCUGGCAUCUACCCAUGGCAUAGCCUACGUGAAGAUACUGGAAGGAGGUGCAGAGAAAAGAGCUGCCAUGUCCCCACCUUGGGCUAAGGUAAGAAGUUGAGACAGGGAAGAAACAGAAAUAGGGCCAUAUCCAACCCUUCCAAUAAGAAAAUUGGGGACAUAAAAGUAAAAAAUGCCAAGAACGAUAGGCAUGGUGUUGGGUUUAUGAUGUCAAGACACUGCAUGCCAAUUGCAGCUGUGCCUCUUGUCUCGGUCUCUUCCCUUCACUGGUCUCAGUUUUCCCUCUGUGAAAUUGGGUGGCUGGCUCUCUGAAAAGAGAGUCUGUCCAGCUCUAACCCUCCAUAGCACUCUGAUCCUUUGCCUAUAAGUCCUGUCUCUUCAAACCAUUUAUACACUGCUUCUCCAACAUCGUCCUUAGCAAACUUUUCUGUUUCUUUUCAGAAUGAUUAUUUCUGACUCUGACUCUUGUAAGGUGUGUCUCUACCAGUUCCCAAAGGAAACACCCAUGUGUUUUUCGCCUGCUUGAAGUAAAUACCACCUUAGGCCAGUUACCCCAUCUGUAAACUGGGAAUAAGACCAGACUGCAGGGAUGCUGAGCGAGGUUAAUUAUACACAGAGCGUGUAGGGGUUGAGCAGAUACACAAGUGCUCUGGAAGUGCUUGGCAUAAUACUAUAGCAUUACAAUAAUUUUGGCUUUCAAAUUAUACCCCAGCAGAGGCAUCACAUGGAAAAGUGGGUCUGACCCCAUGGCCUGCUGAACGUGAAAUGGAAAAAAUAAGUUGUGAAAUAGAACUUCUCCUCCUAAACCUUUGGAGAAGGCAGAGAUAA
rnacentral:lncRNA from 1 species